UACGUAGGUGGCAAGCGUUGUUCGGAAUUAUUGGGCGUAAAGCGCGUGUAGGCGGCCAGGUAGGUCCGCUGUGAAAACCCGAGGCUCAACCUCGGGACGUCGGCGGAAACCAUCUGGCUAGAGUCCGGAAGAGGAGAGUGGAAUUCCCGGUGUAGCGGUGAAAUGCGUAGAGAUGUGGAGGAACACCAGUGGCGAAGGCGACUCUUUGGCCUGUAACUGACGCUGAGGCGCGAAAGCGUGGGGAGCAAACAGG
rnacentral:rRNA from 1 species